UUUGGGGAUGCAAACUUAACAUCAACUUUAAUAUCGAGAAAUCAAAACAUUUUGUCAAAAUAAAAAUUUAUUGCAAAUUCAUUGUUCGGCUGAUAUAAAACGGUUGAAUAUUUUAUAGUUCGGACGGUUGGGCCAAGCGGACACGCCGUAAACAGCAUACUUUUAAUAUGUACAUUUUGUUGCCGAAUAUUUUUUUUUUAUGGUUGCGGUUCCAUGGCCAUAGACCAUGCUUACGGCUUUUCAUGCAUUAUUUAUUAAUUCAACAAUAAAUUUCAAUGUAAAUCAUAACAUUUCAUCCCUUGUUGUGUGGAGGACAUAUUUUAAAGUAGCAUACACCUACCCACCUACGGGGCACUAAAAUACAACACUACACAUAAUAUCAGGUUUUAGUGUAACACGUCCAAUAUAGAUGAUUUGGUGUGGAUUGGUUUGCAUAUUAAUUUCUAAUAAUAAAUUAAACGGUUUUAUGAUGACUAUGCAUGUUUGGUUUGGCUCUAACACACAUUGCAUGAAUGCUAAACAACGAGACCUAUCAUUCAAAGAAGUGGUUUUGGUAAGUUAUUGUUCACACGACGGCCGAAAUUUGG